UAUCCCCGAAUCUGAGACCAAACCCAAAUAACACCAGCUCCAUCCCCACAUCCCCUCCACCGUCGCCCUCUCGCAACACCCCUCGUCCCUGCCGCCGGCGAUGAUAGCUCGGCCGCCGCCCUCCGUCCGCCCGCCGCCCUAACCCCCGCCCUCGACCACAUCCCCCGACCUCGAGCUCCACAUCCCCGGCCCCUGCUUCGGCCGCCGCCGCCCCUUUUCUCUCCCGCAAAGCCCCUUGUCCAGAUCUAUCAGCCGCAGGCCCGUUUCAUUGGUGGGCAGCCGGUGGCCUUCGAGGCCAGAGGAACUGGUCUUUGCUAGGUAAAGGGCCGAUGAUGGCAUCCGCAAUUGUUCUUCCAAACACGAGCAACAUCCUGUGUCUCUCAUAGAUCGACCUGCUAGUUUGCUUCAACCUGUGAGCUGUAUUGUUGGUAGCUACGUUGGAGUGAUUGAACAUGUUGUUAGUCUGAACCUAAACUGAUCCCUGCUUAGUUAGUCAGUCCCUUUGUUUAAGAUUAGGCUCUGGCAUUAUGAAGGUUACUUGUUGGAUCUGUGGUGCUACUGAGAAGUGCACAAUCCAACCUUAUUUUAUUCCAGUUUCUAAUUUGUUGGUCAGAUCGAUGGCUACAGGGAUGGGUUACUUUAAAUUUCUGAAUUAUAAGAUUGCAAGUUUCUGAAAUGUCGGUCUAGAUUGCAUGUGUAACCAGCUAUACAGAUGAUAUCGCUAGAAUUAGUAAUAAAUCUAGAGUACCACUUUUCUCGUAGCCCUUGGAUAAAAUUCAUAGAUUAUGGUGGACAGAUUAGUAGCCCUUGGAUAAAAUGGUCUGAUUGGAAAUAACCUGAACCCGCCUUCUCCAUGUGCGCUACCAGUACGUACGUAGCGAUAAUCUAUGAAUUUUUCAUCAGCGUCCGUCGUGCGUCUGUUGGGAGGGAAAAAGAACAGAUCGAUGGUGUUUGGGAAAGGAUUACAUGCAAGCGCUUGCGCACAGUGAGAUAACAGAUCCAGACCCGUUUACUUUGUUCUUCCCUUAGUAGUUCGCCAUAGGCUGCGGUGCUUAUCAUUGAAUCUUCACUUUUUUCUUUGUUCCCAUAUGGUUGCGGACAGGCCUGACGGCUGAAGCUAGCUUGAUUGGUGUGUUCCUUGCAAGUCAGCUGUGUUGCGCUUCACAUCUAGGCAUGAAUGUGUGUAUCUCUAUCUUCUUUUAUUAACCGGUAAUCAGCCACCUAGUAUUCAUGGAUGUGAUGACUUUGGAGUGUUAUGGAGCAUUUGGUUGACUGGAGUAUUUUGGACCAGCCAACUUAAUUGUAAUCAUGAAUCUUAUGUAUGUUCUGGACCAUUUGGUGUUCAAGUGUUAUGGAGUAGAAAUCAUGUGGAUGUGACUUAAGUGUUUGGACCAUUUAGUGUUCGAACACUUUUAGACCAUCAAAUAAGGGUCCUUUUAUGUGACUUGUGUUUUCUGGAUGUUUGCCAAGAUGGCCAAACUUUGCUUUGU